CCGUACUAGGUCUGUGCCUGGGAUCCAAACGUGUGAAGCCUGGGCCGCCGAAGCAGAGCACACAAACUUAACCACUAUGCCACUGGGUCGGCCCCUGUAUUUCUUUUUAAGACAUUCAGCCUUAUAAGCUCUCAAUACCCUUUUGGCUCAAGCAAAUAUUUUAUUUGGUGAUGCUUUACUGUCCCCAUUUUUUUUUUUUACCUUAUUGAGGAAUAACUGAUAAAUAGAAUUGUAUAUAUUUAAAGAAUAAAUGUGAUGAUUUGAUAGUCAUUGUAGAAUGAUUAUCAAGAUCUGAACACGUAAAUCCCUCAUAUAGUUAACUGUUUUUUAAUGAUGAGAAUGCUUAAGGUCUCUUAGCAACUUUCAAUUAUACAAUACCAUAUUAUUAACUAUAGUCACCAUGCUGUACAUUAUAUCCUCAGAACCUAUUAUUGUAACUGUAAAUUUGGACCCUUGGGCCAAAUUUCCCCCAUCCCCAACUCUUGGCAACCACUGUUCUAUUCUCUCUUUCUAUGAAAUUAGCUGAUUUUUUUUUUUUAAGAUUCCGUGUGUAAGUAAUACUGUGCAGUACUUUGUCUUUCUCCAUCUGGCUUAUUUCACUUAGCCCUCCCAGGUUUAGCCCCAUUGUUGCAAAUGAUAGGAUUUCCUUCUUUUUUAUGGUUGAAUAAUAUUCCAUUGUGUGUAUAUACACCGCUUUUGUUUGUUUGAAGAUAUUUUUUAAUUUCCCUUUUGAUUUCUUCUUUGACCUAUUGCUUGCUCAGGGUGUGCUGUUUCAUUUCCACAUAGUUUUGAACCUCUCAGCUCUGUUCUUUAUUUCUGCCUUCAGAUCAUUGUAAUCGGAAAAGAUAUUUGAUAGGAUUUCAAUCUGAAAUUUGUUAAGACUUACUUUGUGACCUAACAUUUGAUCUGUCUUGGAGACUGUUCCGUGUGCGCUUGAGAAGAAUGUGUGUUCUGCUGAUGUUGGAUGGAAUGUUCUGUAUAUGUCUGUUAUGUCUAUUUGGUCUAAAGUGUCAUUCAAGUCCAUUAUUUCCUUAUUGAUUUUCUGUUUGGAUGAUCUAUCCAUUGUUGAAAGUGGGGUAUUGAAAUCCCCUACUAUUGCUACAUUGCUCUGUGUUUUUGCCUUCUGAUAUGUUAAUAAUUUUUUAAUAUAUUUGGGUGUUCCAAUGUUGGGUACAUAUAUGUUUAUAAGUGUUGUGUCCUCUUGAUGAAUUGACCACUCUGUCGUUAUAUAGUGAUCUUCUUUCUCUCUUGUUACAGCGUUCAAGUUAGUCUAUUUUGUCUGGUAUAAAUAUAGCUACCUCUGCCUUCUCUUUUGUUUUCUGUUUGCAUGGAGUAUCUUUUUCCAUCCCUUCACUUUCAACUUAUGAGCGUUCUUAAAGCUUAAGUAAAUCUCUCUUAGGCAGCAUUUACUGGGUCUUAUAUCUUUAUAUCCAUUUAGCCACUCUAUGUGAUUUAAUUGGAGAAUUUAAACCAUUUAUAUUCAGAGUAAUUAUUGAUAGGCAAGGGCUCACUAUCUCCAUUUUGUUAAUUGCUUUCUGGUUGUUUUGUAGUUCUUUGUUCCUUUCUUCCUGUCCUUGUGAGUUGAUGGGUUUUUGUGUUGAUAUGCUUUGAUUCUUUUCUCUUUAUCGUUUGUGUAUCUUUUAGAGGUUUUUGCUUUGUGAUCACCAUGAGACUUUCAUAGUACAUCUUACAGUUAUAAUGGUCUAUUUUAAGCAAGCCCAUGACAGCUUAACUUUAAUUACAUACGAAAAGUUCCACACUUUUACCUGCCCUCCCAACAUUUUAUGUUGUUGAUGUCUCACUUUGCAUCUAUCUAUAGUGUAUCCAUUAACAAAAUAAUUGGAACUGUUGUUAUUUUUAACACAUUUGUCUUUUAGCCUAUAUGCUAGAGUUCAAAGUGAUUUACACACCACCACGGCAGUAUUAAAAGAGAAUUUCGAAUGGGAGUAUAUAUUUACUCCCAUAUUUACAGUGAAUUUUAUACUUUUAAUAUAUUUUUAUCUUAGUAAUUGGUGUCCUUUCAUUUCAGCUUGAAGGAACUCCCUUUGGUAUUUCUUGUAAGUCCUGUCCAGUGGUGAUGAAUUCCCUCAGUUUUUGUUUGGGAAGUCUGCAUCUUUCAUCUGUGAAGGACAGCUUCGCUGGGUUAAGUGUUCCUGGUUGACAGGUUUUUCUUUGAGCACUCUGAAUAUAUCAUCCCACUCCCUCCUGGCCUGCAAGUUUUCUGCUCAAAGCCUUAUCAGAUUUCCUUGGAUGUGAGGAGUCUUUUUUUCUCUUGCUGUUUUCAGAAUUCUUUGUUUUUCUUUGACUUUUGAGAUCUUGAUUAUAAUGUGUCUUGGUGAAGAUCUCUUUGAGUUGAAUCAAAGGGGGUCUUAUUGCUUCAUCGACCUGGAUGGCCAUAUCUCUCCCCAGAUUUGGGAAGUUUGAGCCACUAUUUCUUUAAAUAAGUUUUCUGUCCCUUUCUUCUGGGGCUCCCGUAAUGCGAAUAUUGUUUUAUUUGAUGGUGCCCCAUACAGUAGUCCCCCCUUAUCUGCCAUUUUGCUGUCUGCAGUUUUAGUCACUCAUGGUCACCUGCGGUCUGGAAGCAGUGAUCCUCCUUCUGAUGUCUUGUCAGAAGGUCAGUAGUCACCUAAUGCUACGUCACAAUGCCUGUGUCAUUCACCUCAUUUCAGCUCAUCACACAGGCGUUUUAUCAUCUCACAUCACAAGAAGAGGAAGCGUGAUAAGUACAAUAGGAUAUUUUGAGAGAGAGGGACCACAUUCACAUAACUUUUAUUGCAGUAUGUUAGUAUUCCUUGUGUCAGAUGGAGUUUUUGUUAGAUUUUGCUGAGACUAAUGAUGCCUGUUCUGAUGAGAUGAUCUUAAACGUCAGGAGUACUUCUUUCUACUUUUUGAUUUUUGUUGUGUUCUGUUGGCUUUAAGGUAUUCAGUACUGCUCAUUCUUGUAAGGAAAAUGCUUGAGAAGCGAAUGCCAUUUAGUAUUCCAGAAAAUUAAAAAUAUUAGUAAUAUUUUAGACUUGUCAGUUUUUAUUGUUUAUUAGUACUGUGAUAUAUACUAUAUAUUACAAUGAUAGUAAUAUUUAUUAAUAAUUAUUUAUUACUUACAAACAACCCUUUGUUUUUUCCUUAAUCAUUAACUGUGUUAAUUUCUUUGCUUUCUACUUUUCACUUAUGACACAUUGGCAUACUGGGUUUCUGCUGUAUUAUUUCAAAUCCACAGUCUUUAGAACCAACUGAGGUAUAUACCAAAGCACCAUAUUUUGUCUGUAUUUUACUUGUUUUGUAUUCUUUUGGAUAAAAUACUUCAAAACAUUUGCUGUGAAAAAGUCUUUCUGAUGUGUCUUUUUUACCUAAAGAUAGGCCUGUUUAACCUGCCUCCUCGGGACAAAUUUCUACCUGGAUUGGAAUGAAAAACCGUAGAAGUCACUAACAUGUUAUCUAUUAAAAGGGAGACGGUAUCUUUGAAGACUUGUUUAAAUGGUCAUUUUUUAAAGAUGCUUCUGAAUUGAGGGAGGGAAAUAUCACAAAAGCAUCAGAGUGCUAGCCUCCCAGAAGGCUGAUGGGAUUUCCUGCAGCAAAGAAGACUUCAGCAGAGAAACAGCUAGUUGCUCAGAGCCAGCAGUGGCAAUGGGAAGAAUUAUAUAGACUGACUACUUCCAGGAAGUCUUUCCCUCUUGGCUCAUAACAUUAAGCAUCUCUCCUCUUUGCCCUGGUCCACACACUGGUGGCAGCCACUGACACUUCUGUCAUCCAGCAGUCCUAUAUCCAUAUGGAUGGUCUGCAGUAGCGUUUUGUAAAUUAUGAAGAGUAAAGUUCUAAUAAAAGAGUUGACAUCUGA